AACCCGGACUCUGUGCUUGGCAUCUAGGACCCUUCUCUAUGUCCCCCCGAGAGGUCCUGAGGGUGAGAACACGAGAAUGGGCCUUUUUUGUGGUGGCUCCCUGUUUGCAAGAUGCUCUCCCCAAGAAGGCUCACCUGGUACCCUCUUUAUGUAUCUUUAGGCACCAGGCAAAAACUCUCUUCUAGGCCUUUGGCUAAUUAAACACUCUAUGGCCUUUUAAACCAAGGGAGGAUAUUGUCUUUGCUUGUGGCUGUGGGAUAUAUUUUUGUGUUUUUGUAUUGUAAACAGCAGUAGAGACAUCACCUUGCCAACAAAGGUCCAUAUAGUAAAAGCUAUGGUUUUCCCAGUAGUGAUGUAUGGAAGUGAGAGCUGGACCAUAAAGAAGGCUGAUCGCUGAAGAAUGGAUGCUUUUGAAUUCUGGUGCUGGAGGAGACUCUUGAGAGUCCCAUGGACUGCAAGAAGAUCAAACGUAUUCAUUCUUAAGGAAAUCAGCCCUGAGUGCUCACUGGAAGGACAGAUCCUGAAGAUGAGACUCCAAUACUUUGGCCACCUCAUGAGAAGAGAAGACUCCCUGGAAAAGACUUUGAUGUUGGGAAAGAUGGAGGGCACAAGGAGAAGGGGACGACAGAGGACGAGAUGGUGGGACAGUGUUCUUGAAGCGACCAGCAUGAGUUUGACCAAACUGCGGGAGGCAGUGGAAGACAGGAGUGCCUGGCGUGCUCUGGUCCAGGGGGUCAUGAAGAGUUGGACACGACUAAACGGCUAAACAACAACAAUUGUAAACAGCCCUGUGAUCUUCGGAUGAAGGGUGAUAUACAAAGUUAGUAAGUAAAUCAAUCAAUCAAUAUGGCAUCAAACUGGCUAACCCUACGCUGAUCCAGCUAGCCAGCUUUAUCUACUCUGACUGACAGUGGCUCUGCAAGGUCUGAGCCUGAGGGUCUCUUCUCCAGGGAAGCUACCUGAGAUACUUCUGAUGAUAAAUGCUGUGCUUUGAGCCCAUGACAUUCUGCACGCCUAGCACCUGCCCUGCCACUGAGCUACAUAGCCCCUCCCACAGCCUCGUUCAACCCUAUUUUACUGCCCAAACCGGUAUGAUCCUGGCUGUCUGGCAACCCUGUUCCAGAAAGUGUUUCAUCGCUUUCCUUCCUUCGCCUUUGGAAUCCAGCCAAACGGAAGAUUUUAGAGGCACAUGAUGCUCCUCUUCCAAAUGUUAGGUUACGAAAUACGUUUCCUCUAGGAAAGUGGGGGGUCACAUGGUGGAGAACUCCUCCUCCCAUCAUAAUUCCAUAACAAGUCAUAAAUUGUUCAUGCCACCGAUCGUUGGAGAUCAGAGCUCCUCCACCAGAGCGGAAUUAUGAAACUGUCUUAAAAGGGCUGGAUCCCUGGGAGGGGCUGUUUGUGCAAUCGGUGGCUAAAUUUAGCCUGAGAUUUUCGUCUUUGCCUACUGUUUUCACACACUGGGAGAAUUAAAACCUUGCCCUUCCGAGUUCUUGGGGUGGGGUUGGGGUAUGAGUGGCGCAACCUCAAGGGGUUGGCGGGGUACAAAAGAGAAAGCCAUUAAUGAGUUACAUUUGUGUUUGUCGAUCUCUUGCCACAGGCUCCUCUGCAGAGGGAGGACACAAAGAUCAGUUGGCUUGUGUUACGCAAAGUUAUGUAACUUUUAUGCUAAGCAUGGGAGAGCAGAAAAGGACCCAGGCGAGCAGUUGUUCUGUUGGAAGGCUCAAGUUCAUAGAGACCAUUUCCACCAAAAAUAUCACAGUCUGGAGGAGGGUGGAAGAUUGCAGAGCAGUGCCUUUGUAUGUCUAGGGCUGCAAUAUAAUAUCAGCCUGGUCCAGUCAUUCAGCAAGGUGUUUAAUGAAUCAGUGUGCUUGCAUGUAUGCACCAGUGGCUCGAAAUCUCAGGAGGAGAGUGUGCACCUGAGUUCGAAUCCUGAUUGCAGGUUUCCCACAGGUAUCCAGUUGACCACUGUGAGAACGGGAUGCUGGACUGGGUGAGCCAACGCCUGAUGCAGAUGCUUAUUAUGAUCCGAUGGGCAGAGGGCCUUCUUGGUGGUGGCGCCCGCCCUGCGGAACGCCCUCCCAUGAGAUGUCAAGGAAAUAAACAAUUGCAUGGCGAGUUCCCGCCCCCCCCAUGGAAAUAAUGACACAUGACACAGUUAUUAAGGCUAAUGGGCUAAAUAAGGCCACAACUUUUAUUGGUUACAGGUGUUGAGCGGUAUUGGCUUAGGCAUUGGUCCUAACCGACUAUAUCCGGCUUCAGCCCGUCCGCUUGAAGUCCGGGAAGGGUUAACGACCAGUAGGGGGAGUCCUGCUGAUGCACAUCAACUAGGAACUCCCCCGGGGUCACCGUUAGGAGGCGUGCCUUAGACCCUCACCUCCCUCGGCUUCGGACAGGGCCACAUCCCCCGGAAUCCUUUAUCGGACUACCCUUCAAUAUGUGGGGCAGGUGAUGGCGCUUCCUCCCCUCUUCCAUCUACAGAACAAUACCAAUGCCUAACCACCAAUACCCAGAAAGUUGUGACGGUUUGCAACGAGGUGGGCGAAAACCAACUGGCUGGUGCCAAUUUGCCAAGUGGAACAAUUCCUACCAGGCCCCUCAACGGUGACCAACCAAGGUCCAUAGCAAGGUCAAGGAACAGAAACCUUAUAGGGCAGGAAAAGCAGGAACAGCUGGCAGGUGGCAAAAGAAGGAGAUCCCCAGUCGCAUGCUGUCUUAAAUAGGGCAAGCCUCACCCCCAGAGCCAGCCGAUUGGCUGGCCAAGGGAUCAUGCGACCGGGAAUCCCCCCAAUUGCAUGGGGCUGGCUCCAGCUGCCGGGCCAUGAAGCCCACAAAUCCAC